GUGCCAGCCGCCGCGGUAAUACGGAGGUGGCAAGCGUUGCUCGGAAUCACUGGGCGUAAAGGGCGCGUAGGCGGGGAGGUAAGUCGGGUGUGAAAUCCCUCGGCCCAACCGAGGAACUGCGCCCGAGACUGCUUCUCUUGAGUCCCGGAGAGGAAGAUGGAAUUCCCGGUGUAGCGGUGAAAUGUGUAGAGAUCGGGAGGAACACCGGUGGCGAAGGCGGUCUUCUGGACGGUGACUGACGCUGAGGCGCGAAAGCGUGGGGAGCAAACGGGAUUAGAUACCCCGGUAGUCCACGCUGUAAACGAUGGGUGCUAGGUGUGGGGGGUAUCGACCCCUCCCGUGCCGAAGCUAACGCAUUAAGCACCCCGCCUGGGGAGUACGGCCGCAAGGUUGAA
rnacentral:rRNA from 1 species